rnacentral:tRNA from 1 species
UGCCCCCUCGUUCAAUGGUAGGACUGACGACUCUGAAUCGUCCAAUCGGGGUUCGAAUCCCUGGGGGGCAACCA